rnacentral:SRP_RNA from 1 species
CCGCACUAGUCGGGGAGAUAGCGGUGCCCUGUACCUGCAACCCGCUUCAGCAGGGAUGAAUCCCGGCCCCCGGACGUGUGUUGUGCCGACUGACCUGAAUAAGCAGCGAUGAAGAGACGGUCCCGCGCAACGCGGAGACCGUGAACCGUGUCAGGCGGGGAACCGAGCAGCACUAAGCGGACCGCCGCGUGUGCCGCGGGGUUGCUGUUUCUGAGCCGGCUGUUCUGGUAACGGGCAUAAUAUGCGCUUCAAAGGCCGGUGUGCGG